rnacentral:rRNA from 1 species
GGAGGGUGCAAGCGUUGUUCGGAAUUAUUGGGCGUAAAGAGCGUGUAGGCGGUUCGGUAAGUCAGAUGUGAAAGCCCUGGGCUCAACCCAGGAAGUGCAUUUGAAACUACCAGACUUGAGUACGGGAGAGGAGGGGGGAAUUCCCGGUGUAGAGGUGAAAUUCGUAGAUAUCGGGAGGAAUACCAGUGGCGAAGGCGCCCUCUGGACCGAUACUGACGCUGAGACGCGAAAGCGUGGGGAGCAAACAGGAUUAGAUACCCUGGUAGUCCACGCCGUAAACGAUGAGCACUAGGUGUAGCGGGUAUUGAUCCCCUGCUGUGCCGUAGCUAACGCAUUAAGUGCUCCGCCUGGGGACUACGGUCGCAAGACUA